rnacentral:tRNA from 1 species
GGAAGGGUUGUAGCUCAGUGGUAGAGAAUCUGAUUGGCAUUCAAAAGGUCCCUGGUUCAAUCCCCAACAUUUCCA